UUCGCUCAGUGACCGCGGAGAGCAGCUCUGAGCAGGACCCUCCCUCCCGAAAAAGCCUCGCAGUCCCCCCCCAGAGCCCCGCGCCAUGAAGACCGCCGGACUACCUUCUCUUCUUCUCCUCCUCUCUCUCCUGCUGAUCAGGACAGAAUCAAAUACAACAGAACUGCCGCCAAGUAUAGUUCCAGGACCAGAUGGACAAUCAGCCCCAACAACAACUCCAACAACUCCAAAUAAUAAAACAACAGACACAGAUUCAAAUGCAACUUCAAGUGUAACCCAAACAGGAUCAACACUAAAUCCGAAAGAAGACUCUCCAAAUUCAAAUGCAACUUCAAGUGUAACCCAAACAGGACCAACACUAAAACCUGAAGACUCUACAAAAACAAAGCCAACUGAUGCAGCCACAGUCACCUCAGCACCGGGCAGUACCCUAGAAACAGGUAGGAGGGGACCACAUUUCAGGCUAUUUCCAUUGCAGUUCAUCCCUCCUUCUGCUUCAAGGGUCAAAGGAGGUCACCAUCAUGCUUAAGGUUGCCAGACAGCCAUAGUUGACAACCCCAAAAUGUAGCUGAGUAGAUAAACAAUCAUGUGGGGAAGUUUCAGGGUAAAAAUAUACAGGUGUCAGUG